UACGUAGGGUCCGAGCGUUGUCCGGAAUUAUUGGGCGUAAAGAGCUCGUAGGCGGUUUGUCACGUCUGCUGUGAAAACUGGAGGCUCAACCUCCAGCCUGCAGUGGGUACGGGCAGACUAGAGUGCGGUAGGGGAGAAUGGAAUUCCUGGUGUAGCGGUGGAAUGCGCAGAUAUCAGGAGGAACACCGGUGGCGAAGGCGGUUCUCUGGGCAUUACCUGACGCUGAGGAGCGAAAGCAUGGGGAGCGAACAGG
rnacentral:rRNA from 1 species